UACGUAGGUGGCAAGCGUUGUCCGGAUUUAUUGGGUUUAAAGGGUGCGUAGGCGGUCCUGAUAAGUCAGUUGUGAAAUACCGGCAGCUUAACUGUCGAGGUGCAAUUGAUACUGCAGGACUUGAGUACAGACGAGGUAGGCGGAAUUGACGGUGUAGCGGUGAAAUGCUUAGAUAUCGUCAAGAACACCGAUAGCGAAGGCAGCUUACUAGACUGUAACUGACGCUGAUGCACGAAAGUGUGGGGAUCAAACAGG
rnacentral:rRNA from 1 species